UUCGGAUUGCAGCCUGCAACUCGGCUGCAUGAAGCCGGAAUCGCUAGUAAUCGCGGAUCAGAAUGCCGCGGUGAAUACGUUCCCGGGUCUUGUACACACCGCCCGUCACACCAUGGGAGUCGGGAAUGCCCGAAGCCGGUGGCCCAACCUUAGGGAGGGAGCCGUCGAAGGCAGGCCCGGUGACUGGGGUGAAGUCGUAACAAGGUAGC
rnacentral:rRNA from 1 species